AUGGUGGGAACUAUAAGGAGACUGCCGGUGAUAAACCGGAGGAAGGCGGGGAUGACGUCAAGUCAUCAUGGCCCUUACGACCAGGGCUACACACGUGCUACAAUGGGAAGGACAAAGAGCCGCGAAGCCGCGAGGUGUAGCUAAUCUCACAAAUCUUCUCGUAGUCCGGAUUGGAGUCUGCAACUCGACUCCAUGAAGUCGGAAUCGCUAGUAAUCGUAGAUCAGAAUGCUACGGUGAAUACGUUCCCGGGUCUUGUACACACCGCCCGUCAUACCAUGGGAGUGGGUUGCACCAGAAGUGGCUAGUCUAACUUAGUGAGGACGGUCACCACGGUGUGAUUCAUGACUGGGGUAAAGUCGUAACAAGGUAGCCCUACCGGAAGGUGGGGCUGGAUCACCUCCUUA
rnacentral:rRNA from 1 species